UACGUAGGGGGCAAGCGUUGCCCGGAUUUAUUGGGCGUAAAGAGCUCGUAGGUGGUUCGGUAAGUCGGAUGUGAAAUCUCCAGGCUCAACCUGGAGGGGUCAUUCGAUACUGCCGUGACUAGAGUUCGGUAGGGGAGUGUGGAAUUCCUGGUGGAGCGGUGAAAUGCGCAGAUAUCAGGAGGAACACCCGUAGCGAAGGCGGCACUCUGGGCCGAUACUGACACUGAGGAGCGAAAGCGUGGGGAGCGAACAGG
rnacentral:rRNA from 1 species